UGAGAGGCCGUCGUCUGCUGCUGUAAUUUGGCUACAGGGGAAGGAAAAUACAGUCUAAAAUACGGUUUGUUUGUUGUUUUUUUUUUUAAAAAUUUAAUUAAUUAUUAUUAUUUUUUUUUUUACGUACUUAAGAAUUUUUUUCUCCUCAUAGUUGAUUGGACGGUUUGGAAUUCGUAUACGACUUGUUGUUAAGCUGCCGUAGCAUCCUCAACGUUUGUGGGAUCGAUUUGCUCGAGAAAACUGGGGAGUGUUUCAUGCAGCGCUCGGACACAUCCAUUCCCACUGAGUAAACAUCUCCUAGAGGUAAGGAAUGAUCAGAGUUUGUUUGAUUGAUUAACAUUAAAUAAAUAACAAUAACUUGCCCGCUCGUUAACGCUGCUUCAGCAUCGGGCCUGUUUUCUCUUCAUUGUUACAUUUUGUUUCCCCUCUCUGUUGCUAAUUACACCUAAUUGAGGCAAUUAAUCUGGUUGUUUAUAGUCGGUAGAUCGAGCGAAAUGUUAACAUGUAUUCCAGGAUGAUAUUGAUUUUGUUGUUAGUGUAAUGGUGGUUUCUGCAGGACUGUUCAGCCAGCACCAUGAGUCUGCUGCACUGGAAUCUGGCCAUCGAUUUUGUGGAGAUAUCCAGCAAACGUUAUAAUAAACGCUCUCCUUCUGCUGCAUUAGACCCUAUUACUACCUUUAUAGCAUUCAUGGAGAACUAUAUAUAUAUUUAAUUUUUAUUUAUUUAUUUAUUUUUUUAAACACACCCAGUAACUAAGCAACAGACUUCAUGUGCUGUCCUCAGGUUGUCUCUCUCUUUGGGAUGAACUAGUUUGAAUUCUAGCGCUUUCCUAUCUUUGUGUACACCCACUCCUUUCAUUUAUUGCUCCUCAUAGAUUUAUUCAGCUGUGUGCAUUUUUAAUCCAGGACUAGAUAGUGACUGACUGGUAAGAUAAAAGAAGGCUGGCAUUUUGGGGGACAACAACAAAAAAACCCCUUUACUUCCACUUCCCCAUCUGUGUACCAUUUCAGAGGGGCAUGAGUAGCAUGGAAGAAGGAAAUCUCAGCUCUUCUUUUACUACAAGGAUCUUUCUCCUUAAAUGAGUCCUGAGCCCUUAAACUGGGAAUGCUUGUACAGGAAAACCUUGCAUGCCUUCUGCCACUGGAGUUUGUUUGUAUGAGUUAUGUCUGAAUGUCAGUUCAGAGGUUGAAUCUUACCCGGAGUUACUUGUGCACGUCAAACACUUUCUAAAUAUGACCGUAUUCAGGCAAAAAGAAACACUCCGGGAAUAAUAACAUCACCUCAUCUAAUAUGUAAAUAGACCCCAGUUCAAUAAAGCUGACAUUUUAUUCUCUCCUUGUUGACGCUGCGGCUUUGUUGAGUGGUUAUAUUCGUUUGCAAAAUGUCUCACUAUCUUUAAUUAUGUCUGGUAUUUUCAUAUUAUGCUUCAGGGUCGUUAUUAUCGACAUUAAUAUACGGAUAAAUAGGUACAAUUGGCCUCAACCUGCAUGUUAGUGGUCUUUGUAAUGCUUGUGAAACUGUAACAAUGUUUAACAAUUGGGUUUUUUUUUUUUUUU
ensembl:lncRNA